AAACCAGAGGCUCAGGAUGAAUGAUAAGAAAACUGAAUUUAAUUUAUUUUAAAAACAUGACAUUAUUCAUUUUAAAACCAGUUGUGAAGCUUUUUUGAGCGUGCUGAAAGUGUUUCCUAAUAAAGACUUAAAGAAACUGAACCAAUGCAUUCAAGCGUGAGAUGAGUUGUUAACAAGGAAACUGGAGGAACACAAGGCUACUUACUGUAUGUCUGAGAUAUGGGACCUGAUGGACGUCCUGCUCAGAGUCCAGUGCAGCCCCAUGGAGAGCCGAUGCCUGGAGGAGGCUGGUUUCAGUGAUGAUCACAUUCUGAUGACCGCAGCCGACACCUUCGGUGCUGCAGUGGAAACCACUUUUUAGCUUCUGAAGAGGACUUUGACACGAAAUGCACUUUAUAACUCCAGGUAGUAUUGAAAGAAAGGCCUUGUGCAAUUUACUAUGAGCAGAAAGGCUAUUGUUUUGUUUUCCUCUAUUUCCUCAGUAUCAGAGAACAUUCGUAAGGUAUGGUUGUGAACAUGAGGUCCAAUCACCAUGACCCCCAAGAGUGGGAAGAUCCCGACGGGUUUAAUCCAGGUGAAUAUCAGAAGAUGCUCUGUGUGCAGCUCGGAGAUCCCUAUUCUGUAUCAGAGGUUUAUCACAUCACAGUGUAGACAUGCAACAUUAAUGAAACCAUACCAAAUACAGCAUCUCUAAGCUACCAAUCCAAGCUCUAACCACUGUGGAGCAGGUGUUCUCAAACUGGGAGCCACAGAGUCUGCAGUUAUUGUAUAUAGAGAUUGUAUAUAGAGAUAGAGAUUGUAUUUUUAGAUUUCUAUUCACUCAAGGGGGAGUGGUAAAUCUGUAAAACAGUUUUUAUUUACACUCUUUGGACAGAAAACUGAUGGAUUUAAACAAAAAAAAUGAACAAAGGUUUUCAUGAUAUUUCAGUAUCAUAAAAGACAUCAUUUAAAUAAUUAAGGUCUAUAUAAAUAACUGUCAUUUGGAGAUCCAAAGGUACAUGCAAGCCCCCCCUCCCCCCUCCUCCCUACUAUUGGGUGAUUUAAUUAAUGACAGUAACGUGCUAGGAAACUCCAAAUUCUAAUUUUGUGGAUGAAGCAGAUUGAUUUUGCACCUAUGUCUCUCUUGAAAGCAGUUUUUGGACAGCAAAGGGCAGCAUUUCUCUCCCUCAGCUUUCAUCCCAUUCAGAGCAGGCCCCCCGGGUCUGUAUUGGGGAGUCCCUGGCUAAGCUGGACCUUUUGUGGUGUUCCUUGAUGUGAUGUGUCUGUGCUGUGACAUUGACAGGUGGCUUACGAGCAUGAAUGUAAUGUUUUGAGCAACCUCCAGCACUGGCAUUGUCGCAUUUUAUUUUAUUUAGUUAACGCACUCUAUUUUAGCAAGUUCUUUAACCGUGUUAUUUACGCAUUUUAAAAUAAAUGACUGUUAAAGAUGUUUACUUUUAAUAUAAAAAAACAUCAGUGCAUCUUAAUCCAGUACUGAAUUUUGUAAUGUGUUGCACCACAAAACCACUUUAAAUUGCAUAGAAAAGUAUAGAUUUCCAAUUAUUUACAGGUAGUUCCAUAUUCCUUUUCCGAUUUGAAUUUAUACCUGCACUCAGUUUUACAAACGUACCGUCUAGAUU